CCUACGGGAGGCAGCAGUAGGGAAUCUUCCGCAAUGGACGAAAGUCUGACGGAGCAACGCCGCGUGAACGAUGAAGGCCUUCGGGUCGUAAAGUUCUGUUGUUAGGGAAGAACAAGUGCUAGUUGAAUAAGCUGGCACCUUGACGGUACCUAACCAGAAAGCCACGGCUAACUACGUGCCAGCAGCCGCGGUAAUACGUAGGUGGCAAGCGUUGUCCGGAAUUAUUGGGCGUAAAGCGCGCGCAGGCGGUUUCUUAAGUCUGAUGUGAAAGCCCCCGGCUCAACCGGGGAGGGUCAUUGGAAACUGGGAAACUUGAGUGCAGAAGAGGAAAGUGGAAUUCCAAGUGUAGCGGUGAAAUGCGUAGAGAUUUGGAGGAACACCAGUGGCGAAGGCGACUUUCUGGUCUGUAACUGACGCUGAGGCGCGAAAGCGUGGGGAGCAAACAGGAUUAGAUACCCUGGUAGUCCCACGCUGUAACGAUAGAGUGCGUAGUAGUUAGUAGGGUUACCGGUCCGUUUACGUUGUCGUGUAAGUUAACGUACGAUUAAGUACGACUCCGUCCGUCGGGAGGUACGGUCGGCGACGACGUAGAAACGUUAAAAGGUAAAGUUAGUACGGCGUGAGACGUGCCGAACGGACGACGUUACGAGGGAGGUAGG
rnacentral:rRNA from 1 species